CUAUUAAGUUAAGUGUUAGACUGUAUAAUGGGGAAGUAUUCAAAGUAUGAAAAAAAUACAAUAAGGAUUGGUAACUCUUACCGUGCUUUUCAGGAUGGCUUCAAAUAGCACCUGAUGAAUUUGCAGGCAAAGGAGAAGCAUAUUGCAAGUUAUGUAGGACACCAUUACGAGCACAUAAAACAGAUUUAAUAAAACAUUCUUCUACUAACUGUCAUAAACAAAGAGCCAAUAGUUUAAACGUUAAAAAACAGCCUGCCUUAACAUCAUUCGGUUAGUAUUACUACAAUAACUUAAAAGUGUUUAGUGUACUUAAUUAAGUUGUUAAGAAUUUAAGAGUACUUGUAGUUAAAAACGUUAAAAUAUAUGUUUAGGAAUUGGUAUUAAAUCAAAUAAUGACAAAAUCAGAGACCUUAAGAUAGCUCUUUUCAUCGCAACUCAUUCUGCAAUCAGAAGUGUUGACCACCUUGGUGAACUUCUAAAAGCCAUGAGCGGUACAAAUAGUUGCUUUUCAUCAUUAGUUUUGCAUAGAACUAAAUGCUCAAAACUGAUUAUAAAUGUUAUUGAACCUUGUUUUCUGACUGAAUUAAUAGAAGAUAUUGGAAGUAGUCCAUACUCCAUCAUUAUUGAUGAAUCGACAGAUGUUGGUACUAAUAAAUACAUGGCAUAUUGUGUACGCUAUUUCAGUCAUUCCACAUCAAACAUGGUGACAGAGUUCUUAGGUUUUACUGAAAUUGAAAAAGCUACUUCUGAAAUACUCAAAGAUGUAUUCAUGAAAUUCAUUAAAAAAUCAAAAUUAAACUUACAAAACUUAGUUGGUAUAGGAACUGACGGUGCGAGCAAUUUAUGUAGAAAAAAUAAAUCUCUUUUCACACUUUUGAGAAAUGAAGUUCCUCAUCUUCAACUAAUAAAAUGUGUGUGUCAUUCUCUUAAUAUAUGUGCUGCUAAUGCAUGCGAAAAGCUUCCAAGUAGCUUAGAGUUCUUGCUUAGAGAAUCCAGAAGUUGGUUUUCGCAUAGUUCGUUACGACAAAUGACAUAUAAAAAUUUAUUCCAAGCCCUGCAUGAUGGAAAACAGCCGCCUUGCUUAAUUCAAUUAUCCACGACACGAUGGCUUUCUUGGCAUAAUUGUGUAAAAGCUGUGCUUACUCAAUGGCUGCCUUUGAAAACGCAUUUCGGAAUUGUAGCUCAAAGUAAAGAAGGGUGCUAUAGUUCUAGAACGUUAUCUGACAUGUUCAACGAUGAAACUCACUUACUUUAUCUCUUGUUUUUAAAUCCAGUUUUACAUGCUGUAACCCAAGUAAAUCUUGUUUUUCAAAGUACAAACAUUGAUUUGGGUAAGGCAUAUGCAGAUUUGAAAAUGUUAAUUAUAUCUAUGGCUAAGCGCAUAUUAAAACCCAAUCAUAUAUCUAUAAUUAUUCAUAAAAGCACUGAUGAUAAAAUGAUUAGUAUUUUAGAUAUUGAACAGCUGAAAAAUGCAUUACUCUAUCCUGAUGAUCAUUUGCCUCUUACAUUUAUAGAUUUUGGGUUUAAAUUUAAAAAGCAAUCUGAUAUUAGCAUUUUAAACAAGUCAAUUAAUAGUGAACAAUUGAAUAAAGUUAUGAAACGUCAGCUAUGUUCAUUUUUUCUUUAUGUCGUGAAAUGUUAAAACGAUUCCCUCAUAAUGUGGCUGUGAUGGAAAAACUGAGAAAUUUGUCACCACAAGAAUGUUUUAACAUAACUGGAUUAAGACCAUCGUUUUCGGAACUUCCCAUUGAUCUGGCUGGUACUAAUAAUGAUACUGAUAUACUAGAAGUCCAAUGGAAUAAUUUAGGAACAUUAAGAUUUGAAGAAGUAUUCCCUGGUAAAAAUAUUAAAGAUAUUUCUCUUCUGGAGUGUUGGAUAGAAAUAUCAAAAUUAAGAAAUGCUACUGGAGAAAAAAUGUUUAAAGAAUUAAGUAAUUUUGCACUUCGUAUGUUGACAUUACCAGUAUCAAAUGCAGUUGUAGAGAGGGUAUUUAGUGUGAUGAAUACAACUAAAACUAAAUUAAGAAAUAGAAUGUCUAUAAACAUGUUAGUAGCAUUAAUUAGAAUAAAACUUCAUUGCAGAGUAAAAAAAAUAUGCUGUGUAAAUUUUACACCUACUAAAGAAAUGUUAAAUUUAUUUAAUGAUAGUAUGUAUGAUUAUGAUUGUAAAACUCAAACAGUUGCAUCCACUGAAGACAUGACAGAUGAUAUGUUUGAAACUGUAACUCUUUUUAAUGCAGAUGAUCUUUCUAUUGAUUGACUUAUUAUUUUUAUUUUGUUUAAAUAAUUUAUUAUUUUAUUAUGUUUACCUAAUUGUUUUAAAAUAACAUAAACAAGUGAAAUGUUUUUUUUUUUAUUGUUAUAAUAUUUUGUGAUAAAAUAUAGCUCAAGACUGUCUUAAUUUAUUGAUUUUUUUUAAAUUAAAAUAUUAUAAUAUAUAUGUGGUAUUGAAAAAUAAAUUUCUCAAUAUUGCCGUGUAAAAGUAAUAUUACAGGUAAUUUACCCAAGUAACAUAAAAAUAAAUCACCGAUAAUUUAAAAUGUUACGUCAGUACGUCACUAGCUAGUAAACACCUGGUACCAGGUACAAAACACCUGUAAUGAUAAAGAAAUUGCUUUAAGUUAAUCGGGGAAUAUUAUAUACUUUUAAAUCAUUACUUAUUAAAUAAUAAUAACUUGAUGAUAUUACUUCUCUGAUUCCUGUGUCGACUUGCUUGUUGUAAUAGCAGUUUGUAUUAGCUAUUAAUUAUUAUACAUUAAAAACUUAAGAUAUAUGAUGGCUAAGCGCACAUCAUUACACACCUAAAACAUAACUUUUUUUUUGUGACGGCGAUUUGGCCUACUUUUAUAAUCACUAGAUGGCAGCGAUAUUGGGCGAUUUAGAUAAACUAUAUUUGCGAUAUUGAAGAAUGAAAACCUGGCAACACUUAAUUGUUAAACGCCUUUACAGUUUUGCCUUUAAUAUUGUUACCUGCACGACUGCACCUUGCGACUGCAUCUUACGACGCUGCACCUUACGAUUGCACCUAUUACGACGUUGCACCUUACGACUGCAAUUUGUCUCAAUCUUCAGCAACGGUACAAAAGUAUGUAUUUAAACUUACCUAUAUAAGUAAUAUAAGGCCCAGGGCUUGAAAUUUGUAGCAUAUGCAUUUUUUUUCAUAAAACUUCAGGACAUAGCUCAUUGAAUACAAAAUCCGAUUUAUACAUAAAAUUUUUUUUGCGUUUUCUUAUGAUAUUCGUAAAUAAUUUCAUUUUUGGUUAUUUUGUUUUUGUAUCAAUUUUUUAGCUUUUUUUAUUUAGUUUUUGUUAAUUAUAUGCAUCUAUGAAAUUUUUAGAAAAUGUACGUACGUAUUUAUCAAUUUAAUGUAAAAGACAACAGAUAUAUUGCGUGUUUUCGUAAAUAAAAAUAAAAAUCAAUUUCUUCGUUUUAUUUCGUACAAAUGUAAUAUCCCCCGUCAACCACACUCAAAUUAUUCACCUUUAUUAAUUGAACUAAUUAUGACCAGUCUUGCUGAUAGAAGAAAAAUUAUUGACUUGAAGUUUCUAUUUAAAAUUGUAAAUGGUUAUUUAAACUGUCCUGAAUUACUCAGCUGCUUAAAUUUUAAUGUCCCUCAUUGUCGAACUAGAUCUGCAAAUACUUUUUACAUUCCUUUUCAAAGAACAAAUUAUGCACUUAGUUCUCCUAUUAAUAGAUUUAUGAAA